GGAAGAACAGGACAAGUUCACAUUCUGCUCAAAGGGACUUAAUGUGGUACGUACGGUACAGAGAAGGUGAUUCAGAACCACGGAGUGCAGGGCACAUCAGAAGGGUAAGCAUUAAGCAGCCAUGCUUGCUUUGCUCUCGCCUGUCACACUCUCCCCUCAUCCCCACCCCUAGAGCUCAAAAUCCAGAUGCUCACUUCUUACUCCAGCCAGUGUCAAAGACCAGCUGACCACCUGCCGGCACUUGCAAGGACCACACUUAGAGCUGUCAACAGAACUUUAUUCAUAGAAACUGGGCGUUCCGACUUACUGGAGCUAUGACCCCUGAGGCCUAGCCCCUUGUUCGGACCCUAGUGAAAAGUGCAGAAUGCCCUCUCCACUGUUGGAGAGAGCCCUGGAGGAAUGCUAUGUUCUAUGCCAAGUAGGGAAUGAGUAGACAUCUGGUUGUUCUUUCUGAGGCUCCCCAUAGAGCUGGGGUGCCUGAGGGUAAAUGGUCCCAAAGCCAGGUGUAGCUGCACCCCUGUACCCAGGGAUAAACUCUUGACCCCAGGUUCUAGUCAAGUUGGGAGUCUUUAAAAGACAAUGACAGGCAGAAGUGGCUCUAAGGACACCUGCGGGUUUCUAGUACCACACCCACCAGGGCAGAGGUUCUGGCUGAACAUAAAGGCCCAAGAUCAUUCCAAACCAAGAAUAAACAAAAGAAAGAAAGAGAGAGAGAGAGAGAGAGAGAGAGAGAGAGAGAGAGAGAAAAUCAAGAUCACUCCAAGGUCCAUGAGUUGCCAAAAUCCUCAAAUGACACUGAUGUGGCGUGGCCUUGGGGGAAUAGGACCAAAAACUCCCAACAAAAAAAAGCCAGAAGCAGAGAAAGACAGCCCUAGAGGCAGGCAUCUGGGUGGGCAGGUGCAGAAGAGCCCACCACAGAGUCUCAGGGCCCUUGCAUAGUGACAUACUCACCACCCUCAGCAUCUCAGGGCCCCACACAGCAUUUAGAGAAAGUGUUACUCUGUCCCACCCAGACUGGAGUCUUCCGGAGUAUUCCAGCUACAGGUCCUGGAUAUAUGGCUUGAGGCUUGGCAGAGACACCUUCAGGGCAAAGAGGACUCAGGCCAGAACCCGGAGGCAAAAUGUUGAUGCUGUCCUGGUGUGUGGAGCACAAAGGACGGGCAGGCAGGGAGGGAGUCUUCAGAGGUAGACAUUGAGGGUCUGCAGGAUGCUGCGGCGGCAGAGCGGGCAGUUGCGGUGGUAAACGGGGUGGCGCAUGAGGAUCUCGGUGCAAGCCUGGCACAGGCACAGGUGCCGGCAGGGCAGAAGCAGCACCGUCUUGCUUUGGUCCUGGCAAAUGACACACUUCUUCCGCUCUUCUUGCUCCUUCAGCAACUUCCAUGGGUCUUGACCAGCUGUAGGUUCCUCCUCAUUGAGUCUCUCCCGGCCUCUAGCAGCUGCUGUUCUGAUGACCUCCUCAUCUGCUUCAGGUAGAGGAUCCUGGGGCUGGAUCCUGGCUGAGAACACCCUCCUGGGGCCACCUUGGGGGGCUCCCGGUGCUCCUCCCCGAUUUGGCCAGCUGGCCAGCUGUAGGCUUCGGCUCCAGACUCUGCGCCAAGCCUCUAGACCUAGUGGAAGGCGAGACAGCCGUACAACAUCCUCUCGAAGCCGGUGGUAGGAUGGGCGGGCGUGAAGCUGAUUGAGAGCUCGGGUGGCCAACCUCAGGGUUUGUUCUGGGUGCAACGCAAUCAGAAUCACCACCAGCACACAAGCCAGCAACACCAAACCGGUGAGGUGGAAAAGCACACAGCUGGCCAGGACGCGGACGGCCGAGGCCAACAGCUCCAGGACUAGUUGGCAAGGGGUCCACAGGAGAAUGGCCAUGGCCACAGCGCUGCUGGAAAUGUGAGCAAGGAAACCAGCCACCACGUCUGUCAUCCUCCAAAGAGGCCCUGUCACGGCAUCCCACAGGGCCAGCACCAGGGAGAAGAAGUUCUGAGUGCCAAUGAGGCAAAUAUUGACCAGACUAUUGACCACAUAGGCCACCAAGCUCAUGGCAAUGGCACAGAUGUCACAGGCCUGGCGUAGCAAACCAUGACCGUUAGAGAUCAUGUUCAGGAUACCCCUGUUCAGUAAUUCCCGGCUCUUCAGAGCUCCAUGAGAAGCCAGGUGCCCCAGCAGCUUUAAGCUCUCCAAGCCCGAGUAGCAGCUGCAGAGAAGAGUACACAAGGCCUGCAAUCCCCCGAAGGUAAAUCGGACCACUGCUUCAACUAAGGCCACCAAAUAGAGCAGGAAUCCUCGACCCAAGUGCAGAAGACUCGUCAGUACUGUAUGUGGCAGAUUGUAGAUGAAGGCCAAAAGCCAGGCCAAGGUAGCCAGGAGGGAGGACACGAGCAAGAAGUUGAGAUCCAACACCAAGGUCAGCAAGUCCAGCAUCAGGCCCACCCCAUUCACCACCAGGUAGACAGCCUCCAUGAUAGGGCUGUGGAGUUCAGGACAAAAAAAGAAAGGCUGGCUCCUCAGAGAAGAUGGUGUCAAGGUUGCCAAUACUGCGGAGAGUUCGGAGUUAAUUUGGAAGGGAUGUGAACGUCUAACCAAGGGAGAACCAAGGUCUACAGAAGUGGGUUGGAGAGAAGACUUUUACAAGAGGGAAAGGAAUCCCGGUUUGGAAGGCGGGCUGUUCGGGAGCGAAGAAGCAAAACAUCUCUAAAAUGAUAGGGAGCCCGGACUGGAGGAAGUACCUCAGCUUUAGAAGCCUGGAGCGGUAUUCAAGGCCGGGCAACGGGUCUGACCGGGAGAAGACCGGGAAGGAUAGGACGGGAUCGGGAAGGGCCGGGCCGGGGCCGGGUGGGGGCGACGCAGGCUGGGCGCGGGCUCGCGGUCCAGCCACGCAAGUGCCCCUGUCCCCGCCCGGCCCCUGUCCUCCUGCUCGUGGCGACUGGCACCCAAAGGGAAAGCAGGACAGAAAGUCAGCCUCAGCAAACCCCAAGCGCGGUCUCGACUCCACUGGGCGCCGCCAUCUUGUGUGCUAAGGGACGGGGCAAGCAGGGGGCGGGACUAU
rnacentral:lncRNA from 1 species